GCGAAUGGCUCAUUAAAUCAGUUAUCGUUUAUUUGAUAGUACCUUACUACUUGGAUAACCGUGGUAAUUCUAGAGCUAAUACAUGCUAAAAAUCCCGACCUCUGGAAGGGAUGUAUUUAUUAGAUAAAAAACCAAUGCCUUCGGGCUUCUUGGUGAUUCAUGAUAACUUUACGAAUCGUAUGGCCUUGUGCCGGCGAUGGUUCAUUCAAAUUUCUGCCCUAUCAACUUUCGAUGGUAGGAUAGUGGCCUACCAUGGUUUCAACGGGUAACGGGGAAUUAGGGUUCGAUUCCGGAGAGGGAGCCUGAGAAACGGCUACCACAUCCAAGGAAGGCAGCAGGCGCGCAAAUUACCCAAUCCCGACACGGGGAGGUAGUGACAAUAAAUACUGAUACAGGGCCCUUUCGGGUCUUGUAAUUGGAAUGAGUACAAUUUAAACCCUUUAACGAGGAACAAUUGGAGGGCAAGUCUGGUGCCAGCAGCCGCGGUAAUUCCAGCUCCAAUAGCGUAUAUUAAAGUUGUUGCAGUUAAAAAGCUCGUAGUUGAACUUUGGGUCUGGGUAACUGGUCUGCGUUUACCGCAUGUACUGGAAACCCGGAUCUUUCCUUCUGGAGAACCGCAUGCACUUUACUGGGUGUGCCGGGGAACCAGGACUUUUACUUUGAAAAAAUUAGAGUGUUCAAAGCAGGCAUUUGCUCGAAUACAUUAGCAUGGAAUAAUAAAAUAGGACGUGCGGUUCUAUUUUGUUGGUUUCUAGGACCGCCGUAAUGAUUAAUAGGGAUAGUCGGGGGCAUCCGUAUUCGAUUGUCAGAGGUGAAAUUCUUGGAUUUUUCGAAGACGAACUACUGCGAAAGCAUUUGCCAAGGAUGUUUUCAUUAAUCAGGAACGAAAGUUGAGGGAUCGAAGACGAUCAGAUACCGUCGUAGUCUCAACCAUAAACUAUGCCAACUAGGGAUUGGGCGACUGUGUUAUUUGAGUUGCUCA
rnacentral:rRNA from 1 species